GACGAACGCUGGCGGCGUGCCUAAUACAUGCAAGUCGAACGCUUCUUUCCUCCCGAGUGCUUGAACUCCAUUGGAACGAGGGGUGGCGGAAGGGAGAGUAAUCCGUGGGUACCCUACCCAUCGGAGGGGGAUCACACUUGGAAACGGGUGCUAAUUCCGCUUAACAGUUUAUGCGGAAUGGAAUAAAAGUGAAAGGCGCUAUCGGGUGUCGUUGAUGGAUGGACCCGCGGUGCAUUAGCUAGUUGGUGAGGUAACGGCUCACCAAGGCCACGAUGCAUAGCCGACGGGAGAGGGUGAUCGGCCACACUGGGACUGAGACACGACCCAGACUCCUACGGGAGGCAGCAGUAGGGAAUCUUCGGCAAUGGACGAAAGUCUGACCGAACAACGCCGCGUGAGUGAAGAAGGUUUUCGGAUCGUAAAACUCUGUUGUUAUAGAAGAACAAGGACGUUAGUAACGGAACGUCCCCUGACGGUAUCUAACCAGAAAGCCACGGCUAACUACGUG
rnacentral:rRNA from 1 species